GCCCUUGUGGCGCAGUGGUCAAGCGCUUUCCGCUUAUGAUGAAAAUCUGUGUCUCGGAAUGGUCCGGAGUUCAACCCUCCGCGGGGGUA
rnacentral:tRNA from 1 species